UGAUAGUCACUGGGCACGAGGAUGCAGAAACUGCCUGCAAGAACAAAAACUGAGAGAAAUGUGGAGUCGCUCGCACGUCUGGAAAUAAUUGCCUGCAGAUUAACAGCUUUCCAUGGGAAUAUGCUGUCUGUGGGGUUCGAAAUCUAGCUGACUUUAAACCGAGUUCCCAGAAGAAACCUAUCUGAGGAGCAUCUGCAAUUACACUCAAACUACUGGGUUUCUAUUCGCCGCUUUCUUCUACUUCGUGCCCAACAUUAAUGUUAAGUUUAAAACAACAAAGGAGGAAAUGGAGUGGCCUUGUCAAGCGCCAUUUCCACUCCCCGACAAUUAAAGCAGCCCCAUAUGGCUGAGAGGAGCCAUCCAGCCACACAAUGCCCCAUGCAGGGCAAAGCCACAUGGACUCAGACCAGCUUAAAGCCAAUUGCAAAACAAAGCAGAGCCGGUUUCUUCCUCAGGAAACAAAGUGGCCGAGCAGGUCUCCUGUCACUAUCUUAAAACACCAGUAAACAUCGUUAAAGAAGUUCCCCCACACACUGUCCCAAUUAGCGCUUCAAAGGCAUUCCAUUGUACCAAGCGUAAUGAAAAAGCACUUUCUUCCAGGAUAAGGAAAAUGCAAUCCUUAUCUCAUUUGCUUUUAAAAAACAGAAUUAAACACAGCAGUCUGAUUACCCGAACUGUUUAUAUAUAGAACAGGGAGGUAAAGCAUUUGCUAUGGAGAGAAAUAGGAAAAAAAUAACAACCAACUGAAAAAAAAAACCCCAAAACCCCAACCCUGCAGCCUUUAGAGCAUUCGGAACUUCCCAGGUCAAUAACAACCUACCCACGCCUCACCUACCGAGUCGAUCCAACUUUUUCUGAAAAAAAAACCCCAAAAAACUGGAGCAACGCGAAGCGGAAAAGAGAAUUAAGCCAAGCCUUUCCUCCAUCCAGGCAGUUAUCGUUGGCCAGAAAUAGCUCCCUAAAACCACCCACCCAGCCGGAGCAGCUGAUUAAUUCCAAGGCGCCCUCGCCGCGUCGCAGGGCUGCUGUGAUCGAUACAAAUCGAGGGUGGUGCAGGCACGAGCUGCACUCCUGCAAUAUUCAUGGUCCAACAGCUCCUGAACCAGAGCCUGUCUUCACCAGACCUGGUGCAAAACAAGCUUUGGAACCAAGAAGCCGUGUGAUAGCUCCAAACCUGCCAGAGCUGAAAUUCAAUCCUCGAGUCAGCACAAAGCGACCACAUCGCGUUCAUCCUCAAUUUUCUAAUCAAAUGUGGCCCAACACCUGGCACAUGCUAGAAGGGAACUGACUGCUCCAGAGUGUAUUUAAAUCAGCAUUUACUCCUAAUGACUUCCAAAAGAGCUUUCCAGCAGGAAGUUAAUUCAGGCCAGGUUUCAUCAUUUGAAAAAUAACCCUGUUUGAUGGUUCUUGUUCAAAAACACCUUAUUCCUCUAGGGCAGGUGAUGCAGCCAGCUUGGACCACAAAUCCCUCAGGUCAGUAAACACUGGAAAAAUGCACUCAGGUAAUAAUAAUAAUAACAAUAAUAAUAAUAAUUUUCAAAUGCGUGGAUUUCUUUGUAUCCCAUUAGGAUGGAAGUUGUUCAAACAGUGCAGAGCAGCAUCUGGCAGUCUGAGCACAGCAACAGAACUGGAGACUAUUCUUGAAUCUCAGACACUGUCUUGCAAAUCCAACACAAACCAACUUCCGAAUUCAGCAGUGUGGGAGAUGGCAGAGAAAUCAUCUCGAGUCCCAUCUGUUUGUACACAGCAUUCUGGAGAUCCUUGAAUGAGCAGAACAGCCACAGCACUCAAUCACCGACAUCAGAGACAACUCAACUUUCACUAAUUGGCUUUCCUAGGAGAUAUGGAGAUCUGCCCCCAUUUCAGAGACUAAAAUAAAAAACAUGCACAGAGUACGGCCUCA
ensembl:lncRNA